rfam:Populus trichocarpa isolate Nisqually-1 chromosome 5, whole genome shotgun sequence.
UAAUCUAUCUAGGGCAGAUUAUCAUCUAAUAGUGAUAAACCCACACUUAACUGUCUAUAAUCAGUACCCAUUAUCGCAAGCCAACUAUAUCAGUUAAUAAUUAACACUAAUUUGGAGUUGAAA